CUGCUUUCCUGCCAACUAACCUUCUACUAACCAACCCAACUUCAGUUGGUUACUUCUCUUUUCUCUUGAAACACAGCAAUCAUAGCCGCCCCAAUGGCGAUAAUGGAAGAGCAAUCGGCGAUCAACUCAACCUCGUCUCCGCUAGAUUCAUACGCCGCGGUGGUUCUCGGCGGCACUUUCGACCGCUUACACGACGGCCACCGCCUCUUCCUCAAGGCUGCGGCCGAGUUGUCCCGGGAACGAGUCGUAGUUGGUGUUUGCGCUGGCCCAAUGUUGACCAAGAAGAAGUAUGCUGAUUUAAUAGAGCCAAUUGAGCAAAGAAUGCAAAAUGUUGAAAAUUACAUUAAGAGCAUCAAGGCAGAGCUGGUUGUACAAGCAGAGCCGAUUGUCAAUCCUUAUGGUCCUUCAAUCAUUGAUGAGAAUUUGGAGGCUAUUGUAGUCAGCAAGGAGACAUUACCCGGUGGAUUAUCUGUCAAUAAGAAGAGGGCUGAGAGAGGUCUUUCACAACUAAAGAUUGAAGUUGUAGAUCUACUCUCUGAAGAAUCGAGCGGAGACAAACUGAGUUCCACUGCUUUGAGAGAGCUAGAAGCCAAGAAGCUCACGAACACUCGCCCAGAAGGUGGUAUGAACUCGUGACAUCAUUCCAUGGAAGAUAGAACAAUAUCAUUACAAUAAACUUAUUUUCCAGAAACUACAUUCAAUCAAUCAUCUCGAGGCAACAUCUUUGCUCUUACCUGAAAGCUUUUUUGCUUGGAGGACAACACAGAACACAGUAUCAUAAUAAUCCCUGUCGUUUAGUAUCAUCAGCACGAUGGAAGAUCCGCUGGAGGAGGUAGAAUGUUGUGAUCAGAACCCGGUCCGUCUUCUACUACAAACGCAGUCUUCAGCCCCCACCCUGUAUGAAGCUCCAAAUGGCAGUGGAAAAACCACACCCCUGAAGAAAUGUUCAAAAGAUAAGCCAAGAAUGAAGGAUUUCAAGACUAGCUAAGUUGAUCAAGUUAUUCAACUAGCUAAAUUAAGCCGUCCAUUGACUUUCUUGAUUUAAGUCGAUCAACUAUGGACAAUCUAAGCUGAACACACUUUCGAAUAGUGAUUACGGGUUUCUUUCGUUA